AAACCGGUUCAAACCGAACCGGACAGUUUUUGAAAUUUUUUUUAUUAAAACCGAACCGAACCAAACCGGAUGAAUAGUACCGGAUCGGUUCUAAUUUUAGGCAAAAACCGGUCCAAACCGAAUCGUGCCCACCCCUAGCUACAGCUGGAGAUUGAGUGAAGUUUGUUUGUGUAGCAACGCAAAAAAAAACGGAGGUCCAAUCAGGGCUAGAUGGAGAAGCUGAAGCGUUCAAUUAAAUAACCCAAAAAAGAAAAAGACAAAAAUAGGUUGGAAAGAUUUAACCAUCCAAAACCCUCCGAAAACGGUGCCCGUCCAUACCCUUUCUUUAGAAUUUUUUUUACAUAUAUUUAUAAUAACAAAUUAAAAUAAAGAAAAAAGAAACAAAAAAUAAUAUAGCCACACCACUCCAUGUCCUCUCGUAUUCCGCCACGUGUUAUUCUCCUAACUGAACCGUACGGUCCCCUUUUUUCCUACCCCAGCUGGCCUCUCU
rnacentral:lncRNA from 1 species